GGCUACAUCCAUUGACCUGUGUUGGUGCUUUACUUGUCACAUGGUUUCAACUAUGGCGACAUGUACAGCGCUCUCUCAAGCAAUUUGGAUAGUUGCCAUAGCAACGGUAUUUGGUGUUGCAGCAACAAAAUAUGACGACGACACAGAAGUAGCAGUGAAGGAGUUGGAUUUGUUAUUCCAACAUCUUUUUCCCUUCGUGCCACCUUCAGGGAUAACAAUUUGGAUAAAUAGACAACCUUACAUUAUCAGGAGACGGGAUAAAGAUGAUCGGAUGUAUAAUGCCAUGGAACAACAAAAAAAGCGUGGACCAGACUGUAUGAGGAAAUGCAUAGAGCAGGGUGUACUUCAUCCUGUACAAUGUCACUCUUUAUGUUAAAUCCUAGACGUUGGCAGGUGUUCACCCAAGUCAGAAAGAUUGUUAUCAGGUCAUUUGUUCGGAGUAAAACCCUACAUAUCAUUUGGACAAUAUUAUAGUGUUUAGUCAAGUUGGUUUUUGGAUCCUAUAAAUUGUUGUUUAAAUGAUUUUCUUGAUUUAUUUUUGAUUGCCAAAAAUAAUUAGACUUAAAUAAUAAUAAUAAUAAUGAG